rnacentral:rRNA from 1 species
AUUGAACGCUGGCGGCAUGCUUUACACAUGCAAGUCGAACGGUAACAGGCCUUCGGGUGCUGACGAGUGGCGAACGGGUGAGUAAUGCAUCAGAACGUGCCCAGAGGUGGGGGAUAACGCAGCGAAAGCUGUGCUAAUACCGCAUGUGAUCUGAGGAUGAAAGCGGGGGACCAGGCAGCAAUGUUUGGCCUCGCGCCUUUGGAGCGGCCGAUGUCAGAUUAGGUAGUUGGUGGGGUAAAGGCCUACCAAGCCGACGAUCUGUAGCUGGUCUGAGAGGACGACCAGCCACACUGGGACUGAGACACGGCCCAGACUCCUACGGGAGGCAGCAGUGGGGAAUUUUGGACAAAGGGCGCAAGCCUGAUCCAGCAAUGCCGCGUGCGGGAAGAAGGCCUUCGGGUUGUAAACCGCUUUUGUACGGAACGAAAAGGCUCUGGCUAAUACCUGGGGCUGAUGACGGUACCGUAAGAAUAAGCACCGGCUAACUACGUG